GGCGCAAGCCUGAUCCAGCAAUGCCGCGUGCAGGAUGAAGGCCUUCGGGUUGUAAACUGCUUUUGUACGGAACGAAACGGCUCUGGUUAAUACCGGGGGCUAAUGACGGUACCGUAAGAAUAAGCACCGGCUAACUACGUGCCAGCAGCCGCGGUAAUACGUAGGGUGCAAGCGUUAAUCGGAAUUACUGGGCGUAAAGCGUGCGCAGGCGGUUGUGUAAGACAGGCGUGAAAUCCCCGGGCUCAACCUGGGAAUUGCGCUUGUGACUGCACGGCUGGAGUGCGGCAGAGGGGGAUGGAAUUCCGCGUGUAGCAGUGAAAUGCGUAGAUAUGCGGAGGAACACCGAUGGCGAAGGCAAUCCCCUGGGCCUGCACUGACGCUCAUGCACGAAAGCGUGGGGAGCAAACAGGAUUAGAUACCCUGGUAGUCCACGCCCUAAACGAUGUCAACUGGUUGUUGGGUCUCUUCUGACUCAGUAACGAAGCUAACGCGUGAAGUUGACCGCCUGGGGAGUACGGCCGCAAGGUUGAAACUCAAUGA
rnacentral:rRNA from 1 species